rnacentral:lncRNA from 1 species
GGAAACAGUGCCGCCCAUAGCAAAUACACAAACACAUUUUGAGUGACACUUGUGUGGAGUCAUCAUAGUAAUGAAGCUCAGGCACCACAGAGACAGACUUUAGUUCACCAUCAAGUCCGACCUCAAGAUGCACUUUUUCCUGUUUGUUAAAGAUCUGAGCAUCAGAAUGAGCUGUUUCUGACUGUGGCCGGUGGUUUUAUACAGUUUUCCUCACAGUGCGUGUGAGAAGAAGCAGAAACGCUGAGAUGACGGCUUGCAGCUUCAACAUCUACAUCAUCUUCACAACUUAUCUGAGCUUCAUCUUCUACCCAAGCCAUGGGUUUGAGGUGAUUCAGCCACAGAAACGGACUGUGAACGCAGAUCUGUCCGCCUCCAUCAGCUGUGAACACACGGCGGACGUCAACUCUGUCGAAGACGUUCGACUCAACAGCAAAUCAUCAACAAACAAAUAUAGACUGCUCUGCCAGAAGGGGAAGACAGACUGUAAAAACAUCAUCAUGCAUCAAGAGAAUCCCAAAAAAUGGCUUUUCAUUUUACUCAACAUCGGGCCAGAGGCCAUGAACAUGACGUACGAGUGUGAGUUCACGGUGAUAAAAGAUGAUCUGGAUCUCACCAAGACGGGAAAACCAACCGUACUCCUGCCAGGUCAAAAGGAAGUGGCCUGUGCUCCUCUUCCUCCUCCUCCUGCUCCUCCUCCUCCUCCUCCUCCUCCUCCUCAUCAGCUCAGGUGGAUUCUGAUUGGUGUGCUGGCUCUGAUGUUCCUGUACAGCUGUGUCAUCACCUCCAUCUACAUCAUACUGAAGUGCAGCAACACAGAUCCCGAGAACUCCACCUACGUAGAAAUGAGGAAAGCUCCUCGGCUAAGGAAUCAACCGUCGGACAUUUAUUGUGGGUAGCUGACUCGUCGUUCUGAGUCAUGAGAGGCGAAACAUGAGAGUCAUCAUAGUUGCAUUCAUCCCUGAAGAGAAACAGCAGGCUGAGACUUUCUGAAGUCUUCUACUGUACAUUUGUUUGUCUUUGGUUUUACAGUAUGCAAUGUAGCACCAUGACAUUAUCUAUUAUAUUGGAUAUAUACAGUAUAUGGAUAUGUACGUUUUAUUAUACAUUUUAACCUUUUUCAAUGCUACCAACACCCAAGUUAAUAGAAGCUAUAUGUUGCUUACACUGGGAGACUUCAUGUAUACCUCCACAUGUUUUCUUUUUCAAUAACUUUUAAUUGAACAAACAGUAUAUGGGGAGUGAUGGGGACGCACAUCACUUAGUGGAUGUAAACUCCACAAAGUCCACAGCCCUAACAAUUAUUAUUGCUUAUAAUUCUACUCAAUUGUGUUUAUUUCCUUUUUAUAUUUAAUGUAUUUUAUUUUACACUAUAUAAUUUGCGUUGCUUUUUUUGGACACCACAGUGUCACUCACUUGCACAUUACAAUGUUAAGACUAUUAUUAAUACUUUUCUUUAUUAUUAUACAUUUGUACUGGCUGCUGGUUGUUUUUUGGUGGACCUCUGUCCAGGCUAGAGUAGCACUUUAGGGCUUUGGUUGUAUGAGGUGAGAGAAUUCAUGCUAUUACUCCUCCUUCAGUGGACGGGGGCCUCCUGAAGGGAAGUUGCUUCAAGGUGAGACCUGCAAUGGGCCAAAUGACAAGUCUGGGUGCAGCCCAAAGUGGUUCUGCCUUUGAAUAGUGAGGGAAAGGAAGGACGAUGAUAAAUAAAUCCAUACAUAAGUGAAUAAAAUAAAGAUGGACUCUCCAGUCACCUCCCUCUCUGCUGCUG